GAAAUGCGAUAAGUAAUGUGAAUUGCAGAAUUCAGUGAAUCAUCGAAUCUUUGAACGUACAUUGCGCCCGUUAGCAUUCUAGCGGGCAUGCCUGUCCGAGCGUCAUUUCAACCCUCAGGGCCCCCCGUUCCGGCGGGCGGACCUGGCGUUGGGGAUCGGCCCGCCCCGUGCGGCGCCGUCCCCCAAAUACAGUGGCGGUCCCGCCGCAGCCUCCCCUGCGUAGUAGUUUACAACCUCGCAUCGGAGCGCGGCGCGGCCACGCCGUAAAACCCCCGACUUUCUGAACGUUGACCUCGGAUCAGGUAGGAAUACCCGCUGAACUUAAGC
rnacentral:misc_RNA from 1 species